UUUAAGUGCAAUCAUAAGUUUCUGUGCUCAAUUUUAAUCGUUCGACUUAUUUGAAUUUUUUAUAAUUAGUAUUUUUAUUGUUAUGAGAUAAUAAGAUAUAAAUAGUACUUUAUACGUGACUUAUGUUUUAAAUUUUUUUAAAUAAGACGGACGAUCAAAGUCAUGCAUGAAAAAACAUGGCUGUACUUAAA
rfam:Oryza sativa Japonica Group DNA, chromosome 2, cultivar: Nipponbare, complete sequence.